UACGUAGGGGGCAAGCGUUGUCCGGAAUCAUUGGGCGUAAAGCGCGCGUAGGCGGCCCGGUAAGUCCGCUCUGAAAGUCCAGGGCUCAACCCUGGAAAGCGGGUGGAUACUGCCGGGCUAGAAUCCGGAAGAGGCGAGUGGAAUUCCUGGUGUAGCGGUGGAAUGCGCAGAUAUCAGGAGGAACACCAAUAGCGAAGGCAGCUCGCUGGGACGUUACUGACACUGAGGCGCGAAAGCGUGGGGAGCGAACAGGG
rnacentral:rRNA from 1 species